AAGCAUGAAGAUAAGAUGCAUAUUUCAAAGCAAGUACAUUGUAUCUACCUUGGCUUCUGACUUCUUUCUGUCCACUGAGGAAGAUCCUUCCUCUCGCCAUCACCUGUACCAGACAAAGAAAACCCCCUAACACUCAAUGAUGGUAAAGAUUCAGUGAAGCCAGUACGUUCUUUCAUACCAGUAGCUGGAGUUAGCCACUUGAAAUUGAUCGUCUGCAAUAGUUAUUGUCCCCGGCGCACUGACCUCAACUUCAAAUUUGGGCAGUACUGAAAACAAAGAAACACACUUCAGCUGACAGUCCCUGGACAGCAAAGCUCCUGCAUCUAGAGCAAACUGUUUCCAUGCAUGCUGCUUUCCUCCACGAGCCCUGAGGCGCACCGGGGUCUGUGACGGUACCUCAUUAAAGAUCAACUAUUCUGUGGGUUUUGUUUGUUUGUUUGUCUUUGGUGGUGGCUUGUUUAUUUUUGUUUAUUUUGGCUAGCCUCAAAACUUCAUUCUUUUUUAUGUUUUAGCUCUUCGAUCUUUUCUAGAGAGUAUCUGAAUCUCAGAAAAUGAGAUAUUCCUUAAGCGAGGAUUAGAGUCAAGACCUGGGCAAAAAGACUGAGGAUGUGACAGAAAAGCAAGCAGCAGAGACCCAAUGUGGCUUCAGCUACUUUCUCCCGGGUCCAAAAAGUUUUGUUCUGUUGCUUUGAACUCGUCUGUAGGAGAACCAGAAGCAGUACUCGGUUACCAUCUUGAUUAACGGUGAAUUGAUGCGCCACUGUCAUUCCUGAUUGCUUUCUUAUGAUGAUUGUGUACUCCCCAAACAUUGGCUCUGGACUCAGGUGGAAAGAGAGCUGGGUGAUGUUUCUGACAGUGGUCACGUUUUUCCAUUGAAAAAUCACAUUGUUUUCGGGAUCCUUGAAAACAGUGAAUAAAGGACAAUCAGAGGUUUUGUGUGAAAAUUA